rnacentral:tRNA from 23 species
GCGGUCGUGGCGGAAUGGCAGACGCGCUAGCUUCAGGCGCUAGUGAUGGCAACAUCGUGGAGGUUCAAGUCCUCUCGACCGCACCA